ensembl:lncRNA
GGCCCCUGGAGGGCUCUGGCCUCUGCUUGCCCCCUGCACAGGGUGGACAGAGGACUGAAAGGCUGUCCUGCCAACCUUACUAGAGCUGGAAAUAACUUUGUGUUGAUUUGCUUUAGACAAGUACACUGGGAAGACCUCAGGGAGCAGCUGCAGCCUGUGGAUGCUGAAUUCUCAGGCUCUGAGGCCACCCCAGCCUCUCCCUCCAAAAGCUCCCAGAAGCACUUUGGAAAUAAUAGUCUAAGGUCCCCAGGCUGGGAUCAAACCUGUGAUCCUCCUGCCUCAGCCUUCCAGAGCCGAAAGUACAGGCCCCUUAGGCCAGGCAGCACUCACACCCUUAAUCCUGGAUUGCACCAUGAAUGGAUCCCAUUGUCAUACACUUUAGAUGCAGCCACCUCUGCAAAAGCCCCACCUGUGACCACAAGAGGCUCUGAGGGGCCGUCCAGACCCAGCCCUGACAGGGAGUUUCCGCCCUUUGGUCAGAGGAAUGCCAGGGUGUGGCGAGACUGACGUGGAGAAGCAGGAGGCAGAAGAACUGAGGCACAAGGUGUGGUGGAGCACGCCGUUCCUCCCAGCAUUCAAGAGGCUGUG